rnacentral:rRNA from 1 species
UACGUAGGGGGCAAGCGUUAUCCGGAUUUACUGGGUGUAAAGGGAGCGUAGACGGCGAUGCAAGCCAGAUGUGAAAGCCCGGGGCUCAACUCCGGGACUGCAUUUGGAACUGUAUAGCUAGAGUGUCGGAGAGGCAGGCGGAAUUCCUAGUGUAGCGGUGAAGUGCGUAGAUAUUAGGAGGAACACCAGUGGCGAAGGCGGCCUGCUGGACGAUGACUGACGUUGAGGCUCGAAAGCGUGGGGAGCAAACAGG